rnacentral:rRNA from 1 species
AUUGAACGCUGGCGGCAGGCUUAACACAUGCAAGUCGAGCGGAUGAGUGGAGCUUGCUCCAUGAGUCAGCGGCGGACGGGUGAGUAAUGCCUAGGAAUCUGCCUGGUAGUGGGGGACAACGUUUCGAAAGGAACGCUAAUACCGCAUACGUCCUACGGGAGAAAGCAGGGGACCUUCGGGCCUUGCGCUAUCAGAUGAGCCUAGGUCGGAUUAGCUAGUAGGUGAGGUAAUGGCUCACCUAGGCGACGAUCCGUAACUGGUCUGAGAGGAUGAUCAGUCACACUGGAACUGAGACACGGUCCAGACUCCUACGGGAGGCAGCAGUGGGGAAUAUUGGACAAUGGGCGAAAGCCUGAUCCAGCCAUGCCGCGUGUGUGAAGAAGGUCUUCGGAUUGUAAAGCACUUUAAGUUGGGAGGAAGGGCAGUAAGUUAAUACCUUGCUGUUUUGACGUUACCAACAGAAUAAGCACCGGCUAACUUCGUGCCAGCCGCCGCGGUAACAC